rnacentral:rRNA from 1 species
GCUGUCGUCAGCUCGUGUCGUGAGAUGUUGGGUUAAGUCCCGUAACGAGCGCAACCCUUGUCCUUAGUUACCAGCACCUCGGGUGGGCACUCUAAGGAGACUGCCGGUGACAAACCGGAGGAAGGUGGGGAUGACGUCAAGUCAUCAUGGCCCUUACGGCCAGGGCUACACACGUGCUACAAUGGUCGGUACAAAGGGUUGCCAAGCCGCGAGGUGGAGCUAAUCCCAUAAAACCGAUCGUAGUCCGGAUCGCAGUCUGCAACUCGACUGCGUGAAGUCGGAAUCGCUAGUAAUCGUGAAUCAGAAUGUCACGGUGAAUACGUUCCCGGGCCUUGUACACACCGCCCGUCACACCAUGGGAGUGGGUUGCUCCAGAAGUAGCUAGUCUAACCGCAAGGGGGACGGUUACCACGGAGUGAUUCAUGACUGGGGUGAAGUCGUAACAAGGUAGCCGUAGGGGAACCUGCGGCUGGA